rnacentral:lncRNA from 1 species
AGUCAAAAAUCCUCUGAGCUGUGUGGGAGGGAGCGAUAUGGGAGAGACCCCCCUGGUGCUCAGGGCUCAUGUCAAGUUGUACAACCAGAAACCUUCAGAAGUCUUGGUUUUUGAAAACUUUCUCUGUUUUCAACAGCAAGAAUGGUCCUAUGAGGGGCAGGAAGCACAGGGUGGCUAAAGAGUACUCAGGUGUAUGAAAGUAACUCAAGUCUGAAGCAGACCUUGGUGUAGGAAAUCGGGGAGUCUCUGCAAAGAGAUCCUGAAGGGGCUGGAGUUGGCCAAAAAAAAAAAAAAAAAAAGACAAAUCUCUGUUGGCAAAAUCUUUUCACAGAUGUGUCAUUCAGGAGUGGUUCACAUAACUGAAGAAUGGCAAACAGAGUACUCCGUAUGAAAGGAGGAGGAAAAGCAAUCCAGGCAGCGACUGGCCUUUCACAGUCUGCAAAGCUUUAGACAAAUUGUGAAGGAAAGAAUAAUGGGAUGAAAAUAGGACUGAGUCCAAUCCAGACUUACAAAGGCACAUUGAACCUGCUUGUCUUGAUAUUUUUUUUGUUGGUAGGGGAACUGGUUUCCUCCACAAAAGAAAAAUGCAUUUCUUCUUUGGCUGGCUUUUGGUUAAGUAACAUUUGGGGGAUAUUUCAGUGGAUGAAGAGAAAUGAAUCAUCUGUGCUAAAAGACAAUGCUGAGGCACGAAGAAGGUUCUGCUGUGCUCCUGGAAAAAGAGGCUGCCAGCAGAGGGCCCCCAAAGAUGGAUAUGUAGAUCCUACAGAGGUCCUGAGAGAAGCUGCCUCCUGAUGCUUGUCAGAGCAUGCUGAGCCCCUUUUUCUGAAAGGAGAAACUGAGGCAGGGGGAGAAGAUGGUGAGUGUCAGAGCAGAAUGUGUCCUGUGAUGCAGAAGUGAAAUAUUCUCUUGCUCUUCGCAAGCAAUUGAUUUGGUUUCAUUUCCUCCUCGCAGACUCUUUUUCGAGGGCUUGGGGAAGCUUUUUGGUUUUCUCCUUUUGCACGACCAAAGGACACCGAGGUCCCACAGCAAGACAUUUAGAGCCUAAAUGUCCAAAAGCCAGUGGGGAUGUUUCAGGUGCUCAGCUCAUUGCCCCAGAACCGUCAGGGGAGAGAUGGAGACAGAGGUCACCAUGCAGCAGCCACCUCCUCCCGGCUAUAUCUGUGGGGCUGCAAGUAUGGGUGGUGGAGCAGGAGGAUCUGCUGACUUCCUCCAUCCUCAGCCAGGAUUUGGGGCUCCUCAGUACCUCACAGUGCCCUCAGUAAUGCCAGGAUGUGGCCCUUAGCCUGAUACCCAAAAUAUAGGCACUUAACCCUGCUGCAGCUUGGAUGCCUCCGUGUCCUGUGUUAACACCGACUUGCUUUUUGCUCUUAGAGGUGAAGGCGUCCCUGAACUACGUGUGUUUGUCUGUUCAUACGUCCCAAGCUUUCUAGACAGCUCCGAUCAAAAGCAGUUUAAUGCACUUCAGCCUUCGCGAGUGGAAAUUUCCUCCACCUACUUCCAGGUCCUCAGGGUUUCCAAAUGUCAAGUCGUCAACUGCAAAUGUUAUCUGAAAAUGCUUAGCAAGUUGCAGUCCGUUGGCAUCAGUCAGUCACCAAAGACAACCGGCUUGUUUUCUUGCUCUUCUCUUUAAUAUUCCCUCCCAGCAAGGCUCUGGAGACGUCAUUAGGAGCAGUGAGCUCCUCGGAGCCGGGCUAACAACCGCUGAGUAGGUUGUUUCUGCGUAAAUAAUUUGCUUCUUGGUUCCUCUCCGUGCCCUGAGCUGAGGGCGGUGGUGGCUGCUCAGCAGAGAAGG